AAGCGGAGGAAAAGAAACUAACAAGGAUUCCCCUAGUAACGGCGAGUGAAGCGGGAAGAGCUCAAAUUUGUAAUCUGGCACUUUCAGUGUCCGAGUUGUAAUCUCGAGAAGUGUUUUCCGCGCCGGACCGCAUACAAGUCUGUUGGAAUACAGCGUCAUAGUGGUGAGAACCCCGUAACUGAUGCGGAUGCCCGGUGCUUUGUGAUACACUUUCGAAGAGUCGAGUUGUUUGGGAAUGCAGCUCAAAUUGGGUGGUAAAUUCCAUCUAAAGCUAAAUAUUGGCGAGAGACCGAUAGCGAACAAGUACCGUGAGGGAAAGAUGAAAAGCACUUUGGAAAGAGAGUUAACAGUACGUGAAAUUGUUGGAAGGGAAACGAUUGAAGUCAGACUUGUUAUCUGGAGUUCAGCCUUUCGGUGUACUCUCCAGUUUACAGGCCAGCAUCAGUUUUCGGGGCGGGAAAAUCGUAAUUAGAAGGUAGCAGCCUAGCUGUGUUAUAGCUCUUUACUGGAUUCCGCUUUGGGGACUGAGGAACGCAGUGUGCUUUUAGCAAUACCCUCGGGUAUUUCACACUUAGGAUGCGGGAAGAAUGGCUUUAAACGACCCG
rnacentral:rRNA from 1 species